rnacentral:rRNA from 1 species
CAGCAGCCACGGUAAUACGGAGGGUGCAAGCGUUAAUCGGAAUUACUGGGCGUAAAGCGCACGCAGGCGGUCUGACAAGUCAGAUGUGAAAUCCCCGGGCUUAACCUGGGAACUGCAUUUGAAACUGUCAGGCUGGAGUCUUGUAGAGGGGGGUGGAAUUCCAGGUGUAGCGGUGAAAUGCGUAGAGAUCUGGAGGAAUACCGGUGGCGAAGGCGGCCCCCUGGACAAAGACUGACGCUCAGGUGCGAAAGCGUGGGGAGCAAACAGAAUUAGAUACCCGGGUAGUCCCUGUCUCUUAUAC